GACGAACGCUGGCGGCAGGCCUAACACAUGCAAGUCGAGCGAGCGGCGGACGGGUGAGUAAUGUAUGGGGACUGCCCGAUAGAGGGGGAGAAAUACUGGAAACGGUAGCUAAUACCGCAUACUAUCGGAUCACGCCUAUGGGAUUAGCUAGUAGGUGAGGGAAUGGCUCACAUAGGCGACGAUCCCUAGCUGGUCUGUGAGGAUGAUCAGCCACACUGGGACUGAGACACGGCCCAGACUCCUACGGAGGCAGCAGUGGGGAAUAUUGCACAAUGGGCGCAAGCCUGAUGCAGCCAUGCCGCGUGUAUGAAGAAGGCCUUAGGGUUGUAAAGUACUUUCAGCGGGGAGGCGUUACCCGCAGAAGAAGCACCGGCUAACUCCGUGCCAGCCGCCGCGGUAAUAC
rnacentral:rRNA from 1 species